rnacentral:rRNA from 1 species
CACGAACGCUGGCGGCAGGCUUAACACAUGCAAGUCGAGCGCCCCGCAAGGGGAGCGGCAGACGGGUGAGUAACGCGUGGGAAUCUACCCAUCUCUACGGAAUAACGCAUGGAAACGUGUGCUAAUACCGUAUACGUCCUUCGGGAGAAAGAUUUAUCGGGGAUGGAUGAGCCCGCGUUGGAUUAGCUAGUUGGUGGGGUAAAGGCCUACCAAGGCGACGAUCCAUAGCUGGUCUGAGAGGAUGAUCAGCCACACUGGGACUGAGACACGGCCCAGACUCCUACGGGAGGCAGCAGUGGGGAAUAUUGGACAAUGGGCGCAAGCCUGAUCCAGCCAUGCCGCGCGAGUGAUGAAGGCCCUAGGGUUGUAAAGCUCUUUCACCGGUGAAGAUAAUGACGGUAACCGGAGAAGAAGCCCCGGCUAACUUCGUGCCAGCCGCCGCAGUAAGAC